GGGAAGGUGGCUCAGUGGUAGAGUGCUUGCCUCACAUGCAUGAGGUUCUGGGUUAGAUUCCUCAGCCCCA
rnacentral:tRNA from 1 species